rnacentral:rRNA from 1 species
AUGACGACUGGCGCACGGGUGAGUAACGCGUAUCCAACCUUCCCAUAACUACGGGAUAACCCGUUGAAAGACGGCCUAAUACCGUAUGAUAUCGUUUGCUGACAUCAAAUAACGAUUAAAGGUUUAGCGGUUAUGGAUGGGGAUGCGUCUGAUUAGCUUGUUGGCGGGGUAACGGCCCACCAAGGCAACGAUCGGUAGGGGUUCUGAGAGGAAGGUCCCCCACAUUGGAACUGAGACACGGUCCAAACUCCUACGGGAGGCAGCAGUC